UUUUAAUAGAGAGUUUGAUCCUGGCUCAGGACGAACGCUGGCGGCGUGCUUAACACAUGCAAGUCGAACGUGAUUUUUGUGGAAAGCCCUUCGGGGACGGAAGCGAAAUGAAAGUGGCGAACGGGUGAGUAACACGUGAGCAACCUACCUUACACAGGGGGAUAGCCGUUGGAAACGACGAUUAAUACCGCAUGAGACCACAAAGCCACAUGGCUUAGGGGUAAAAGAUUUAUCGGUGUAAGAUGGGCUCGCGUCUGAUUAGCUAGUUGGAAGGGUAAAGGCCUACCAAGGC
rnacentral:rRNA from 1 species